GAUCUGACCCUGGAUCAAAGUUUGAUGGGCCUGAGAACUAGCUGGAUCACCUGGAUGGAAAGAUCUUGAGUGGCAGAAAAUGUGGAUAACCCAUCCCUGCAUCACUGGACUCCAGUGCUACAGAAAUGCUCAUCAGAGAAAUGCACAUCAAAUUAGUAAGGACUUUGUAGUCUUACAAGACUUAAACAGAUUACAUUCUAGUAAUCUAGUUUUCCCUCUUCUCUGAGUACAAUUGACUUCACAUUAAUGGGUAAAGUUAUCUUUCAUUGGAAUAAAGACUACAGAACACACUAGCUACCUUCUGAUCCCAAUAACUCAUCCCCUCCACCUAACACUGCUAUAGGAAAUUGGCUGUGUUGAACAGAAUCGAAAAUGUUCCUCAAUUAUCCUUGCAGACUUUCUCCCUUUGUGGCUUCAAUGAAGUAAGUGGCCAUACUGAAGAGAGCUGCACGGUGAGGAAGUAAGCGAAGCCUUUAUCCAGCAGACAGCAACAAGUUGAGGACAGAGUGAUCUGAUGCCUAUUUCUACCUCCUGCAGAUCUGAAUCUGCCCCCUGCUAUCAUGAGUAGGAGACAGAUUCCCAGAACACAAACCUAGGUGUCUCUCAAUAGCAGCCAUCUGCUUCUCCCGGAAACACAGCAACUUUUUUUCUGAAAAUGUUUUAUUGAGAAAUGCAUGCUUAUCUCUAAUUCCUCAGGGGAAUUUCCUUGUAGGGACAUGAGUUACUUGCCUUCAGAUGAAAACCUAAAGAAGAAAAGAACAAAAACAAAGCAAGGCCAAGAAUCAUCCUCCGAAAGUCUCAGGAACACCCAGGAGGUCUCACACAAUCACAAUCCAGAAAUUAGUUUCUAUCAAACUGUGCUUCUUGUCUGAAACUCCUCCUGUAGUUGACUCUAAACUUGCCACAUAAUCGCAGAGGAGACAGGAAGAAAAGAGAACCCACUGAAGGCAUCGCCCGCCACCUCGAUGCAUGAUCUCCGUGCUGAGGCAGACCUGUUUUUUGCCAUGUUUAGGUCUCAAUUAUUAAUCAAGAAGAGUUUUCUCAGCUCCUAACCUCAAAAGCACAAGUUGACAGUCUGGGUCUUACAGUGCUGUUCGUGAUCUAAAGGAAAUUCAUUAUAAAGUGGCCUUUCUUUAUAGAGGAAGACAUAUUCUUUCUUUAUUGUUGCCUCUCAAGCCAGACUCCCUGCCCAGUCUGGAGAAAGAUAAUAUUUCUCCUAAGAAGACAAUAUUAAUGAACUCAAUUCGGAGAAUACAGUUGCCCGGGCUGAGGCAAAGAGACUCAAAGCAUGCCUUGGGUCCCAGUUUUGCUUUUAUAAUUUCCUUCACUGAAGGAAUGGUGGAGAAUGGAUAAAGGGAUGCCCUAAAAGCUAUAUUCCCAGAGGCAGGAGUUCUCCCUCUACACUAGGCUCUCCAGAAAUUAGGGGAAAGGCAGCUUCCUCAACGGCAUCACUUAGAUGGCCACUCUCUUUGUUUUCCUGGAAAAGGGUGCUGGCAACUAUGAAAAUGACAACUAGAACUCUGGGAUAACCUUGUCAUUUUUAUGCAUGUUGAUUCUUGGUUGUUAUUUGCUUGAUACUGAUCUAGAAGGGCAAAUAUGAUUUUAAAGAAAAGUAUAAGAAGCUCUGUGUCUCAGAAUGACAUCUGAUUCAUCACAAAGGAUUUCCCUGUUUAUUCCCCAGUGAGUCACAUGUACACAGAAAUGAGGGAGACACUUUAAAAGACAUGGAAAUAGAAGGACAGUUACCAGAGGCUGGGAAGGAUAGUGGGAGGGUUGGGGUGGGGGAAGGUGGGGAUGAUCAAUGGGUACAAAAAAAUAGCUAUAAAGAACAAAUAAGACCUACUAUUUGAUAACACAACUGGGUGACUAUAGUCAAUAAUAAUUUAAUUGUAUUUUUAAAAAACUAAAAAUGUAUAAUUGAAUUGUUUGUAAUACAAAGCAAAAAUGUUUGAAGGGAUGGAGACCUCAUUCUCCAUGAUGUGAUUAUAAUGCAUUGCAUGCCUGUAUUAACACAUCUCAUGUACCCUGUAAAUAUUAGGUUGAUGCAAAAGUAAUUGUGGUUUUUGGCUAUAUACACCUACCAUGUACCCAAAACAACUAAAAAUAAAUUAAA
rnacentral:lncRNA from 1 species